UACGUAGGGUGCAAGCGUUAAUCGGAAUUACUGGGCGUAAAGCGUGCGCAGGCGGUUCUAUAAGACAGAUGUGAAAUCCCCGGGCUCAACCUGGGAACUGCAUUUGUGACUGUAGAGCUGGAGUGCGGGCAGAGGGGGAUGGAAUUCCGCGUGUAGCAGUGAAAUGCGUAGAUAUGCGGAGGAACACCGAUGGCGAAGGCAAUCCCCUGGGCCUGCACUGACGCUCAUGCACGAAAGCGUGGGGAGCAAACAGG
rnacentral:rRNA from 1 species